rnacentral:rRNA from 1 species
CCUACGGGUGGCUGCAGUAGGGAAUAUUGCUCAAUGGGCGAAAGCCUGAAGCAGCGACGCCGCGUGAGUGACGAAGGCCUUAGGGUUGUAAAGCUCUGUUGUAAGGGAAAAUUAUGAUGGUACCUUAUAAGAAAGGACCGGCUAACUUCGUGCCAGCAGCCGCGGUAAGACGAGGGGUCCUAGCGUUGUUCGGAAUCAUUGGGCGUAAAGCGUGCGUAGGUGGCUUUGUAAGUCAGGUGUGAAAGCCCUGGGCUCAACCCAGGAAGUGCAUUUGA